rnacentral:rRNA from 1 species
UCCCAGACUCCUACGGGAGGCAGCAGUGGGGGAUAUUGCACAAUGGGGGAAACCCUGAUGCAGCGACGCCGCGUGUGGGAAGACGGUCCUCUGGAUUGUAAACCACUGUCCCCAGGGACGAAGAUGACGGUACCUGGGGAGGAAGCUCCGGCUAACUACGUGCCAGCAGCCGCGGUAAUACGUAGGGGGCAAGCGUUAUCCGGAUUUACUGGGUGUAAAGGGAGCGUAGACGGCAGAGCAAGUCUGAAGUGAAAGCCCGUGGCCCAACUGCGGGACUGCUUUGGAAACUGCCCGGCUAGAGUGCUGGAGAGGUAAGCGGAAUUCCUAGUGUAGCGGUGAAAUGCGUAGAUAUUAGGAGGAACACCAGUGGCGAAGGCGGCUUACUGGACAGUAACUGACGUUGAGGCUCGAAAGCGUGGGGAGCAAACAGGAUUAGAUACCCCCGUACGA